UUCGGGGCGAGCUAAACGGGUCAAUUCAAGCGGAUCCGAGCCACGCCCAUCCAUGUCGCGUUUCUCGUGUACACCAAGUAACAACGGCAGUGCAUCAACAAACUCUGUCUCUCUGAUGCCAAACACCGUUCUCUCACUCCCAUCGACACUCUCAUAGACUUCGCAAUCGGAAAAAUCAGUGGUGCUGCGGCUCACAUGGACCCGCAAUACCCGACCAAGCCGGCGCGGUCGCACGGGCCGCAGAUGAAAAUGACGAUUCAGCCCUCGCAGCACUCCGACAACGACCGGUCCAGCGGCGAGCUGCGCGCGCUGGAUUGCAACCUCACAGCCCUCUGCGACCACAUACAGACGGAGGGCUUCAAUUCCGGUGCCUUCUCCGAUAUGGUCGUCCACGCCAUGGGCUCCACCUACCAUCUCCACCGCCUCAUUCUCUCCCGCAGCCCCUACUUCAGGAACAUGCUUCAUGGACCUUGGAAAGAAGCCAGUGCCCCCGUUUUAACCUUACAUAUUGACGAUAAGAAUGUUAACGGAGAAGCAAUUGCAAUGGCUUUGGCGUAUCUAUACGGUCACCACCCCAAGCUUAAUGAUAACAAUGCAUUUCGUGUUUUGGCUGCCGCUUCUUUUCUUGACCUUCAGGAUUUAUGUGCAAUAUGCACAGACUUCAUUAUAUCUGAAUUAUGGACUUCAAACUUCUUAGCCAAUCAGGUGUUCGCGGAGAGCCAAGAUUAUGGCCUACAUGGAGAACGAGUAAGAAAUGCUUGCUGGGGCUACCUUUGUCAAAGUGGUUCCAUGGAGUUGAAAGAGGUGCUUCCAAAACUUUCAGCUCAAACCCUGCUUGCAUUACUGACCUCUGAUGAGCUCUGGGUACCCAGUGAAGAGAAACGGUUUGAGCUGGCAUUCUAUGCAUUCCUUGCAAAAGGUGCUCAAAGCAAACAGGAAGACUAUGAUCAUGGAAGUUCCAGUUCUGAGGCAGGAACGGAUACUCCAUCUGAUUCUUCUAACGCAAAGGGAAAGAAUCUGAUUGAUAGAUUCGCUAACAAAAGGUUGGAGUCUGAAGUCGGGUGCUUAACUCUAAAAGAUGAUGUAGAGGGCCAUAAUACUGCUCGUAGUCUUUUGAUAGAGCUUGCAGACUGUGUGGUUGAUUUCCAAACAGGAGUUUCAAAUUCCAAACAGCAAGUCCAACAAGUUGCGGACCCUCAAUCCAAUUUGGAGCCAGGAUACAACUGCAGCAUGGGUGGUCCUUCAUCAUUAAAAAAUUCACUAUCAGAAAUAGAUGUGAUGAGAACCUCAUGUUAUGCUGAAAUGCCAGUUGGUGUUGGAGCAAGUAGACUGGGGGCGAAUGGAGUGGCUAUGGAAGGGCCAUCUGAUGAAGGAUCAUGCUUUCACUUAAAUAACAACAGUUGGUUUGCCAGGGACCAGUCAAGGCAAUGCUCUUCAAUGAACUCUUCCACUCGUGAGCUCAUGCCAAAUGAUUGGGGAAGAUGUGGCAUGCCUCCUCUUUCAUGGGGUGGCAGGGUUGUAGGGAGAAGACAGGUUAAAGGUUAUGCUAAAGGGAACUUUGGGGUUGGUGGGGAGGAAUAUGAUGCAUUUGUUAAUAUAUUUGAAGGCGGAUCUCUUUUAUACUGCAACAUGUCUUUUGAGGCACUUUUGAAUGUACGAAAGCAACUUGACGAACUGGGGUUCCCCUGCAAAGCUGUAAACGAUGGUCUUUGGCUGCAGAUGCUUUUAAGCCAGAGAGUCCAAGAAGUUGGUGCUGAUACGUGCAAAAAUUGCUGUCUUACAAGUAUAGCGUGCAGUUGCAGACAGCAAUUUUCAUUCUCACAAGGAGUUACUACUGGAUACUACAUGCAAGAGCAUAAUCAGAAUAAUUCUCCUGGUGUAUAUGUUGCUGAGUCUGCCCCAGGUGAAGGAAAUGGUCUCUUUAGGCCUGUACGUGUGCAUGUCAGGGGUCCUAUUGAUGGGCUUGCUGGUAUCGGACGCGGAACUACAUUUGUACCAGCAACUGCCUGGCCUCCAACUCGGUUUGUUUUUUCCCGUGUGCCAUUUGGCAUGGGCAACAGAAAUUGCCAGCAGUCUCUUGCUAAUGAUGAUUCAGAGGCUAGAGCUGACCAUAAUGGGGACCUGUCUGGAGAUGGAUUAACAGCUUUAGUUGGGCUAAGCCAAGGAGGGAACAAUGUAGCUAAUGCUCAUGGGGAGCAAACAGAGAGAGGCUAUGAGAUGGAUAUGCAAAGCAGAAUGGCUGGAACGUCCAUGUCAGUGCCAAGUACUAGUGGUGUACCCAUUCAGAUGGUAGAGUCGUCAGACCAUGCACUUGGGAUUGAGUGGGAUAAUGCAAGCAGUUCUUCCAUCUCAUUGGAUAUGAAAACACCUUUAAGUCACUUCCCUCCUUUCCGCUUUGGGGUGCAAUUUGAGGAUGUGCACAGGCUUAGUGAUGGCCAAGUGAAGCACUCUUCAGAAGUCUUUUAUGCUGGUUCUUUAUGGAAGGUUAGCGUUCAGGCUUUUAAUGAUGAAGAUCCUCAAGGACGUCGAACACUUGGAUUAUUUAUUCACCGACGUAAGGCAGAGAUUACUGAUUCAUUCAGAAAGGUGCAAAUGUAUGUCGAUUCUCGUGAAAAGGUUACAGCCCGCUAUCAGUUAAUUUGCCCAUCAAAGAGGGAAGUCAUGGUGUUUGGGAGUUUCAAGCAGACAGGCACGCUUUUACCGAAAGCUCCCAAGGGCUGGGGAUGGCGAUCAGCUCUGCUGUUUGACGAGCUUGCUGAUCUUCUCCAAAACGGGACCCUAAGAGUGGCUGCUGUUGUACAGCUUGUAUGAAUAAUGAAUUAUACAGAGAUAAAAGCCACAGCCGAAUAAGUUGGCUUUCGACAUACGAUGACAAUUGGACCUUUUUGCUGUGUUGACAAGUAGUUGUCUUUUGUUUAUUUAAGGAUUCUCUUGCGAAGAAAUACUGUAUUGAGGGAAAGAAAGAGGGAAAUGUUUACACACCAUUUUUCUCCAUUUGCAUCCUCUGUUUGGUUUUGUUCGUUGAUUUUCUGUAUUCGUUUGAUCAAACAGUCGGUAACAGGCGUGGGGUGUGCAUGUGGAGAAAAAUGGUGGGCAUUUGAGACAUCUUUCGAUCUUUGUUACGUGCUUAUACUCGCGCUGCGCUUCGAGAACAGCGAAGGCUUACAAUCUUUACGUUCACUGAUGCAAAAAGGGUACUGGUGAGUUCUGUAGCAUUCGAUGUUUGUUUUAGUAGCAGUCUUGUUCGGCUGCUAGAAGUCUAUGCAAACCUAUGGCUAUAUCUAUUGAGCAACAUUCAACCAAAUUUCUCGUCUCACCUUUCUCGUCUUCUUUCACAUGAGGAACAGGGUAAGUCUUCAAUAUUUCGAGGUUUUCGGACUACUGGGUAGCACGAUUUUAUAUCAAUUAGAUUGACAAGCAAAAAUAUUUGUCAAAAAUAAUAUUUCUCCAAUUCAAUCAUGACUGUUCAUUUUUGUAGUA